AUGAGUCUCUUGUAUUGAAAUUGCGGUGGGAUAUGCAACACCCAGACAAUUCGAGAGCUCCGCCAAAUCGUGAUGAAGUUUGCCCCUAUAGUUCUUUGCAUUGUAGAGACUCAGAUUAGCGUGGUCCAUGCUGAAAAUCUUGUUGGUUCUUUAGGCUAUGAUAACGCUUAUGUUGUUGACACCACCACUAGAAGUGGUGGUCUAGCUAUGUUUUGGGCUACUCAAAAUACCAUACAGAUGUGA
rnacentral:rRNA from 1 species